UUACAAAACCUUUCACUCCUGAAACUAGCAUGCGAAACUAUAAGAAAUGUGCUAGCGCUAUACACCCGUGAUUCAUAUAUAUACCAAUUUUCAACCACUGUCUUACUUCAACAAAUAUUCAUCUAUGUUUUGUAAUUUGUUUUAAAAUUUGCAUAGCCUGCAAACACCGAAUUUAUUAAUAUGCAUUUUUCGGGUUCUAUACUGUCUGGUUGCAUAUAAAAGCAACUCUAGAUUAACUUCAGUGUUUUUGUUUUGGUACAUUUCUUUUUAUCGCACAUGAUAUUUAGCACAUUUCUUGUUAAAAUGAAGUGGAUUCAGCGCCAAUAUUUCGUUGCCCACUACAGAAAGGACAGGCAAAAAAACUAGAGACUAUAUAUACAUCCAACUUAUUCUUACUAGAUAUACUAUGCAUAUGUCUUUUACCAGUCAAUUGAAAAGUAUACAAGAAAAUUUAUUCAUUUGUUAGUAAAGAAAGGAAUGAAAACCAAAAAUACAUAUUUAUUACUUUCGACAGCACUGUACCCAAGCCAAACAAACAACAGGGCGAACAACCAAAGGCUC